GGCUCCCUGCGCUGCUCGUGAUAGCGGGCUGAGUCUUGAGCCAACGCCCUUCGGUGGGGCGCUGCCAUGGACCGGUGGAACGCAGCUCGGCGGUUUCCGUCCAGAGCAUACGCGAAGCCGCUCUGAAGCGCCCACCUUGUUCUUGGGUUCAGAGACUCAACUCCACACGACAGCUGCGGGGCCUUU
rnacentral:other from 1 species